GACGGAGGAUGCAAGUGUUAUCCGGAAUCACUGGGCGUAAAGCGUCUGUAGGUGGUUUAAUAAGUCAACUGUUAAAUCUUGAGGCUCAACCUCAAAAUCGCAGUCGAAACUAUUAGGCUAGAGUAUAGUAGGGGUAAAGGGAAUUUCCAGUGGAGCGGUGAAAUGCGUAGAGAUUGGAAAGAACACCGAUGGCGAAGGCACUUUACUGGGCUAUUACUAACACUCAGAGACGAAAGCGUGGGUAGCAAACAGG
rnacentral:rRNA from 1 species